UUCGCCGGCACUCUGCCAGAGGGGAAAUCAACCACGGAGGGCCUCUACAUCAACAUCCUUGCCCCUCCGAUGAGUUGUGAGUAGUUUACCUCAGACCUACGGGUCCAUAGUUAUUAGCUAGAUGGCUUCUUCUCUCUUUUUGGGUCUUAAUACAAUGUUCUCCCCUCUCUUGUGGAGAUCUAUUCGAUGUAAACUCUUUUUGCAGUGUGUUUGUCGAGAUCCGAUGAAUUGUGGGUUUAUGAUCAAGUUUAUCUAUGAAUAAAUAUUUGAAUCUUCUCUGAAUUCUUUUAUGUAUGAUUGAGUUAUCUUUGCAAGUCUCUUUGAAUUAUCAGUUUGGUUUGGCCUACUAGAUUGGUCUUUCUUUCCAUGGGAGAAGUGCUUUGCUUUGGGUUCAAUCUUGCGGUGUCCUUACCCAGUGACAGAAAGGGUUGCAAGGCACAUAUUGUAUUGUUGCCAUCGAGCAUAACAAGAUGGGGUUUAUAUCAUAUUGCAUGAGUUUAUCACUCUACAUCAUGUCAUCUUGCUUAAUGCGUUACUCUGUUCGUAUGAACUUAAUACUCUAGAUGCAGGCAGGAGUCGGUCGAUGUGUGGAGUAAUAGUAGUAGAUGCAGGCAGGAGUCGGUCUACUUGUUAUGGACGUGAUGCCUAUAUACAUGAUCAUGCCUAGAUAAUCUCAUAACUAUGCGCUUUUCUAUCAAUUGCUCGACAGUAAUUUGUUCACCCACCGUAAUACUUAUGCUAUCUUGAGAGAAGUCUCUAGUGAAACCUAUGGCCCCCGGGUCUAUCUCUUAUCAUAUUUGCUUUCAAUCUACUUUUAUUUGCAUCUUUACUUUUUGCAUCCAUAUUAUAAAAUACCAAAAAUAUACUUAUCUUAUCAUACUAUCUUUAUUAAAUCUCACUUUCGCAAGUGGCCGUGAAGGGAUUGACAACCUCUUUAUUGCGUUGGUUGUGAGUUCUCAGUUUGUUUGUGUAGGUGCGUGAGACUUUUGAGGAGCGUCCUGCUGGAUUGAUACCUUGGUUCUCAAAACUGAGGGAAAUACUUAUGCUACACUUUGCUGCAUCACCCUCUCCUCUUCGAGGAAAACCACGCAAGCUCAAGGUGUAGCAAGAAGGAUUUCUGGCACCAUUGCCGGGGAGGUCUUCGCUCAAGUCAAGACAUACCAAGUACCCAUUACAAACCCAUCUCUCUCGCAUUUACAUUAUUUGCCAUUUGCCUCUCGUUUUCCUCUCCCCCACUUCACCCUUGCCGUUUUAUUCGCCCUCUCUUUCCCAAUCUCCUCCUCUCUUUUUCGCUUGCCUUUUUCUGCUUGCUUGUGUGUUGGAUUACUUGUUGCCAUGGCGCAAGAUAAUACCAAAUUGUGUGAUUUCUCGAAUACCAAUAAUAAUGAUUUCCUUAGUACUCCUAUUGCUCCUCUUAAUGAUGUUGAGUCUUGUGAAAUCAAUACCGCUUUGCUGAAUCUUGUUAUGAAAGAUCAAUUCGUCGGCCUUCCUAGUGAAGAUGCCGCUACUCAUCUAAUUUUUUUUGUUGAUUUGUGUGAUAUGCAAAAGAAGAAAGAUACAGAUAACGAUAUUAUCAAAUUGAAGUUAUUUCCAUUUUCACUUAGAGAUCGUGCUAAAGUUUGGUUUUCGUCUUUGCCUAAAAAUAGUAUUGAUUCUUGGAACAAGUGCAAAAAUGCUUUUAUCUCUAAGUAUUUUCCUCCCGCUAAGAUCAUCACUCUUAGGAACGAUAUUAUGAAUUUUAAACAACUUGAUCAUGAGCAUGUUGCCCAAUCUUGGGAAAGAAUAAAAUUGAUGCUUCGCAAUUGCCUUACUCAUGGUUUGAAUUUAUGGAUGAUCAUACAAAAUUUUUAUGCCGGUUUGAACUUUGCUUCUAGAAAUCUCUUAGAUUCAGCCGCGGGAGGCACGUUUAUGGAAAUUACGCUAGGAGAUGCUACAAAAUUGCUUGAUAAUAUUAUGGCUAAUUAUUCUCAAUGGCACACCGAAAGAUCUUCUAGUAAAAAAGUGCAUGCCAUAGAAGAAAUCAAUGUUUUGAGUGGAAAGAUGGAUGAACUUAUGAAGAUGUUUGCUACUAAAAUACUCCUCUUGAUCCCAAUGAUAUGCCUUUGUCUUCCUUGAUUGAGAAUAAUAAUGAAUCUAUGGAUGUGAAUUUUGUUGGUAGGAAUAGUUUUGGAAACAACGCUUAUAGAGGAAAUUUUAAUGCUAGACCGUUCCCUAGUAAUCCCUUUAAUAAUUAUGGAAAUUCCUACAAUAAUUCUUAUGAUAAUUUUAAUAAGAUGCCCUCUGAUUUUGAGAAUAGUGUGAAAGAAUUUAUGAUUUCUCAAAAGAAUUAUAAUGCUUUGCUUGAAGAAAAAUUGCUCAAAGUUGAUGAUUUAGCUAGGAACAUUGAUAGAUUUUCGCUUGAUGUUAAUUAUCUUAAACUUGGAUCUUCUUCUCCUAAGCAUGAUAUCAAUGAGUCUCUCAAAGUAAUGAGAAUUUCCAUUGACGAGUGCAAGGAAAGAAUCGCUAGAUUGCGUACUAAAAAAAGCUUUAUAAAAGCGUGUUCUUCUAGUUUCCAUGAAAAUAAUGAUGAGGAUCUUAAAGUUAUUGAUGCAUCUCCGAUUAGAUCUAUGUUUUGCAAUAUGAAUUCUGAUGGUUAUGGGAGUGAUGAUGAAUCAACCUUGCCUAGAAGGCAUCCCAAGAAUUCGGAGUCUUUAGAUCUUAAUGCUAAAUUUGGUAAAAGUGAGAUUGGAGAAUCCUCUACUAAUAAUAUUGAACCUUCCAUCUCGGAUUUAAAGGAAUUUGAUUAUGAUAAUUGUUCUUUAAAAGGGUGUAUUUCCUUGUUGCAAUCCGUUGUUAAUUCUCCUCAUGCUUAUAGUCAAAACAAAGCUUUUACCAAACAUAUUGUUGAUGCCUUGAUGCAAUCUUAUGAUGAAAAACUCAAUUUGGAAGUUUCUAUACCAAAACUUAAUGAUGAGUGGGAACCUACUAUAAAGAUUAGAAUUAAAGAUUAUGAGUGUUUUGCUUUGUGUGAUUUGGGUGCUAGUGUUUCCACGAUUCCAAAAACUCUAUGUGAUAUUCUAGGUUUCCAUGAUCUUGAUGAUUGCUCUUUAAAUUUGCACCUUGCGGAUUCCACCAUUAAAAAGCCAAUGGGAAGGAUCAAUGAUGUUCUUAUUGUUGCAAAUAGAAAUUUGGUGCCCGUAGAUUUUAUCGUUCUUGAUAUAGAUUGCAGUCUUUCUUGCCCUAUUAUUCUUGGUAGAUCUUUCCUUAGAACGAUUGGUGCGAUUAUUGAUAUGAAGGAAGGGAACAUUAGAUUCCAAUUUCCCUUAAAGAAAGGCAUGGAGCACUUUCCAAGAGAGAAAGUCAAAUUACCUUAUGAAUCUAUCAUGCGUGCUACUUAUGAAUUUAGUGCCAAAGAUGGCACUACUUAGAUCUAAGCUUGCUUUUAUGCCUAGCUAGGGGCGUUAAACGAUAGCGCUAGUUGGGAGGCAACCCAAUUUUCUUUACGUUUUUUGUUUUUGCUCAUGUUUAGUAAUAAAUCUUGCAUCUAAGUUCUGGUUAGAUGUGUUUUUAUCUUUUAAUUAGUGUUUGUGCCAAGUAGAACCUAUAGGAUAACCUACGAUGAUAGUUGAUUUGAUUCUGCUGAAAAACAGAAACUUUACGCGCACGAAUAUAAUUUUGUUAAAUCACAGGAACGUGAUUUUGCGUUGAUUAUUUUUGCUGCUGUUCAAUGGACAAAUUGUCCAGGACUUCCUAUUUUGGUAGGAGUUUUAGAGUUCCAUAAGUUUGCGUUAGUUACAGAUUGCUACAGACUGUUCUGUUUUUGACAGAUUCUGUUUUUCGUGUGUUGUUUGCUUAUUUCAAUGCAUCUAUGGCUAGUAAAUUAGUUUAUAAACCAUAAGGAAGUUGGAAUACAGUAGGUUUAACACCAAAAUAAAUAAAGAAUGAUUUCAUUGCAGUACCUUAUGUGGUGGUUUUGUUUUCUUUUACUAACGAAGUUUAUAAGAUUUCCUGUUGAGUUUUGUGUUGUGAAGUUUUCAAGUUUUGGGUAAAGCUUUUAUGGACUAUGGAAUAAAGGGUGGCAAGAGCCUAAGCUUGGGGAUGCUUAUGGAACCCCAAGAUAUUCAAGAAUAGCCAACAGCCUAAGCUUUGGGAUGCCCCGGGAAGGCAUCCCCUCUUUCGUCUUCGUUCAUUGGUAACUUUACUUGGAGCUAUAUUUUUAUUCGCCACAUGAUAUGUGUUUUGCUUGGAGCGUCAUGUAUUAUAUUAGUCUUUGCUUUUUAAUUUACCACAAUCAUCCUUGCUGUACACACCUUUUGGGAGAAGCCUAUUUGAUUAGAAUUUGCUAGAAUACUCUAUGUGCUUCACUUAUAUCUUUUGAGCUUGAUAGUUUUUGCUCUAGUGCUUCACUUAUAUCUUUUAGAGCACGGUGGUGUCUUAAUUUUGAAGAAAUUGCUAGUCUCUCAUGCUUCACUUAUAUUAUUUUGAGAGUCUUUUAUAACAGCAUGGUAUUUGCUAUGAUCAUAAAGUUGGUCCUACAAUGAUGAACAUCCAAGUUGGGUAUAAUAAAAACUAUCAUAGAAAAAGAAUUGGAUGUUAUGAUCGAUAUGAUGCUUGCUAAUUGUUUUGAUAUAUGGAGGUAGUGAUAUUAGAGUCAUGAUAGUUGAGGUGAUUAUGAAAAUACUUGUGUUAAGGGUUGUGAUGCCCGUAGCAUGCACGUAUGGUGAACCGCUUUGUGAUGAAGUUGGAGCAUAAUUUUAUUUAUUGAGUGUCUUCCUUAUGAGUGGCGGUCGGGGACGAGCAAUGGUCUUUUCCUACCAAUGUAUCCCCCCAGGAGCAUGCACGUAGUGCUUUGGUUUUUGAUGACUUCUAAAUUUUUGCAACAAGUACAUGAGUUCUUUUGAUUAAUGUUGAGUCCAUGGAUUAUACGCACCCUUUCACCCUUCCAUUAUUGCUAGCCUCUCUUGUACCGUGCAACUUUCGCCGGUACCAUACAUCCACCAUUUACCUUCCUCAAAACAGCCACCAUACCUACCUAUUAUGGCAUUUCCAUAGCCAUUCCGAGAUAUAUUGCCAUGCAACUUUCCACCGUUCCGUUCAUAUGACACGCAUUACUUUUGUCAUAUUGCUUUUUGCAUGAUCAUGUAGUUAACAUUGUAUUUGUGGCAAGGCCACCUUCAUAAUUUUCAUACAUGUCGCUCUUGAUUCAUUGCAUAUCCCGGUACACCGCCGGAGGCAUUCAUAUAUAGUCAUAUCUUGUUCUAGCUUUGAGUUGUAAAUCCAUAAAAGUGUGAUGAUCUUCAUUAUUAGAGCAUUGUCCUAGUGAGGAAAGGAUGAUGAAGACUAUGAUUCCCCCAGAAGUCGGGAUGAGACUUCGGACUUUACAAAAAGAAAAAAAGGAAAAAAAAGGAAAAAAGGGAGAAAGGCCAAAAAAAGAGAAGGCCAAAGAAAAAAAAGAAGAAAAGAAAAAGAAAAGAAAAAAAAUAAAAUGAGAGAAAAAGAGAGAAGGGACAAUGCUACUAUCUUAUUUUCCACACUUGUGCUUCAAAAUAGCACCAUGAUCUUCAUGAUAGAGAGUCUCAUGUGUUGUCACUUUCAUACACUAGUGGGAAUUUUUCAUUAUAGAACUUGGCUUGUAUAUUCCAAUGAUGGGCUUCCUCAAAACUGCCCUAGGUCUUCGUGAGCAAGCAAGUUGGAUGCACCCCACUUAGUUUCUUUUGUUGAGCUUUCAUAUAUUUAUAGCUCUAGUGCAUCCGUUGCAUGGCAAUCCCUACUCACUCACGUUGAUAUCUAUUGAUGGGCAUCUCCAUAGCCCGUUGAGACGCCUAGUCGAUGUGAGACUAUCUUCUCCUUUUUUGUCUUCUCCACAACCACCAUUCUAUUCCACAUAUAGUGCUAUGUCCAUGGUUCACGCUCAUGUAUUGCCUGAAAGUUGAAAGAGUUUGAGAUUAUUAAAGUAUGAAACAAUUGCUUGGCUUGUCAUCGGGGUUGUGCAUGAUUAAAUACUUUGUGUGAUGAAGAUAGAGCAACAGCCAGACUAUAUGAUUUUGUAGGGAUAACUUUCUUUAGCCAUGUUAUUUUGAGAAGACAUGAUUACUUUGAUUAGUAUGCUUGAAGUAUCACCAUUUUCAUGUUAAUAUGAACUUUUAUUUUGUAUCAUUUGGAUCUGAACCUUCAUGCUACAAUAAAGAAAAUUACAUUAUGAAUUAUGCUAGGUAGCAUUCCACAUCAAAAACUCUCUUUUUAUCAUUUACCUACUCGUGGACGAGUAGGAAUUAAGCUUGGGAUGCUUGAUACGUCUCCAACGUAUAUAUAAUUUUUGAUUGUUCCAUGCUAUUAUAUUACCUCUUUUGGAUGUUUAUGGGCUUUAUUUUACACAUUUAUAUCAUUUUUGGGACUAACGUACUAACCGGAGGCCCAACCCAUAUUGCUGUUUUUUUGCCUAUUUCAGUAUUUCAAAGAAAAGGAAUAUCAAACGGAGUCCAAAUGGAAUGAAAACUUCGGGAGCAUGAUUUUUGGAACAAACGUGAUCCGGAGAGCUUGGAGUGCAAGUCAAGAAGCUUCUGAGGGCCCCACGAGAUAGGGGGCCGCGCUCCCCCCUGUAGGGCGCGCCCCCCUAUCUUGUGGGCCCCUCGGGCAGCCACCAACGUACUUCUUCCUCCUAUAUAUACCUACGUACCCCGAAAACAUCCAGGAGCACCACGAAACACAAUUUCCACCACCGUAACCUUCUGUAUCCGCGAGAUCCCAUCUUGGAACCUUCGCCGACACUCUGCCGGAGGGUGAAUCAACCAUAGAGGGCCUCUACAUCAACAUCCUUGCCCCUCCGAUGAGUUGUGAGUAGUUUACCUCAGACCUACGGGUCCAUAGUUAUUAGCUAGAUGGCUUCUUCUCUCUUUUUGGAUCUCAAUACAAUGUUCUCCCCCUCUCUUGUGGAGAUCUAUUCGAUGUAAACUCUUUUUGCGGUGUGUUUGUCGAGAUCCGAUGAAUUGUGGGUUUAUGAUCAAGUUUAUCUAUGAAUAAAUAUUUGAAUCUUCUCUGA
rnacentral:lncRNA from 1 species